UAGGGAAUCUUCGGCAAUGGACGAAAGUCUGACCGAGCAACGCCGCGUGAGUGAAGAAGGUUUUCGGAUCGUAAAACUCUGUUGUUAGAGAAGAACAAGGACGUUAGUAACUGAACGUCCCCUGACGGUAUCUAACCAGAAAGCCACGGCUAACUACGUGCCAGCAGCCGCGGUAAUACGUAGGUGGCAAGCGUUGUCCGGAUUUAUUGGGCGUAAAGCGAGCGCAGGCGGUUUCUUAAGUCUGAUGUGAAAGCCCCGGCUCAACCGGGGAGGGUCAAUGGAAACUGGGAGACUUGAGUGCAGAAGAGGAGAGUGGAAUUCCAUGUGUAGCGGUGAAAUGCGUAGAUAUAUGGAGGAACACCAGUGGCGAAGGCGGCUCUCUGGUCUGUAACUGACGCUGAGGCUCGAAAGCGUGGGGAGCAAACAGG
rnacentral:rRNA from 1 species